UAUACACAGGGAACAGGGUAAUGAAGUAACUGUAUAUAUACAGGGAAACAGAGUAAUGAGUACUGUAUAUACACAGGGAACAGAGGUAAGUAACUGAUAGAUGAUAUUAACACGGGACACCGGGUAAUGAAGUUACUGUAUAUACACAGGGAACAGAGUAAUGAAGUACUGUAUAUACACAGGGAACAGAGUAAUGAAGUACUGUAUAUACACAGGGAACAGGGUAAUGAGUACUUGUACUGUAUACACCCAGGGAACAGAGUAUGAGUACUGUAUCUAACACAGAAGUAUAUAUA
ensembl:lncRNA